AGUGAACGCUGGCGGUAGGCCUAACACAUGCAAGUCGAACGGCAGCACAGUAAGAGCUUGCUCUUACGGGUGGCGAGUGGCGGACGGGUGAGGAAUACAUCGGAAUCUACUUUUUCGUGGGGGAUGACGUAGGGAAACUUACGCUAAUACCGCAUACGACCUACGGGUGAAAGCAGGGGAUCUUCGGACCUUGCGCGAUUGAAUGAGCCGAUGUCGGAUUAGCUAGUUGGCGGGGUAAAGGCCCACCAAGGCGACGAUCCGUAGUUGGUCUGAGAGGAUGAUCAGCCACACUGGAACUGAGACACGGUCCAGACUCCUACGGGAGGCAGCAGUGGGGAAUAUUGGACAAUGGGCGCAAGCCUGAUCCAGCCAUACCGCGUGGGUGAAGAAGGCCUUCGGGUUGUAAAGCCCUUUUGUUGGGAAAGAAAAGCAGCAGGUUAAUACCCCGCUGUUCUGACGGUACCCAAAGAAUAAGCACCGGCUAACUUCGUG
rnacentral:rRNA from 1 species